GUUUGCAAAGUUUCAUACUGAAGAUUUCCUGCUUAAUGAUGCUCCAUGGUCUGGUAGACCUGUUGAAGUUGAUUGCAAUGAAAUUGAGAAAUUAAUUGAGAACAACCACCUUUAUUACAUGGGAGAGG